AACGAACGCUGGCGGCAUGCCUAACACAUGCAAGUCGAACGAGACCUUCGGGUCUAGUGGCGCACGGGUGCGUAACGCGUGGGAACCUGCCCUUAGGUUCGGAAUAACUCCCCGAAAGGGGUGCUAAUACCGGAUAAUGUCUUCGGACCAAAGAUUUAUCGCCUUUGGAUGGGCCCGCGUUGGAUUAGCUGGUUGGUAGGGUAAAAGCCUACCAAGGCGACGAUCCAUAGCUGGUCUGAGAGGAUGAUCAGCCACACUGGGACUGAGACACGGCCCAGACUCCUACGGGAGGCAGCAGUGGGGAAUAUUGGAAAAUGGGCGAAAGCCUGAUCCAGCAAUGCCGCGUGAGUGAUGAAGGCCUUAGGGUUGUAAAGCUCUUUUACCCGGGAUGAUAAUGACAGUACCGGGAGAAUAAGCUCCGGCUAACUCCGUG
rnacentral:rRNA from 1 species